AGGGCCAGCAUUUCGUCUGGUUUUUUAUUUCGAUUUUGCUGUUUGUUUGUUUUGUUUUACAAGAGAUGUAAAGGGGGAGAUUUCAAUCUUCGAGUGAAAACACACCCGGGGCACGUUCAACCUGAAGACGGUGUGCAGCGUUUUGCUAAAAUUGCAAUACCAGGGCUGCAGGUUCCUAGAGUGGGUAGAGACAGAUUAUCUUGGGUAUCUUCGCUGUAUUUUCACAUUGUGUUGGAAGUGAUGGACAGCGACUGCAGCAAAAAGAGAAAGGAAGCCUUGUGGAGAUUUAACACUGAAACAACACACACAAAUAUGAUCAACUGACAAGUGUGUCUUCCUCACACAACAAGGCUGUAAUGGUGUGUUGAUGGCUUUCACACAUAUGGAUGCUGAAGUUAUGAAAGGCAAGCUCAGCUAUAUCCUUGUUGGCCAGAGCUGGUGUUCUACAAUCAAAGGAAGAGGCUACCCUAUGGAGGACAGCAACAGCAGAUGUGAUGUGGAAUGAGGAGGACUCCAUCUUGGAUUGAAGGCCAAUAAGGGUCGUCUGGCCUCCAGCCCAUAGUACAGAAUCGUCUGAAAUGUGUGAGGGAGCCACAGAAAAUACUGGAUGCAGACCAGAAGUACCUUGUGAAUUACCAUGAAUGUGUUAAUGUGGAUAGAUGUGCAAUGGAGACCAUAGCGUGAGGAGCUGGGUCCUUCUAGAGAAUUCUAGAGAAAGUGAUUACUUUACACUCUCUAAAAGCCCUUUUUUAUGUUAUAUUAAAUUAGAUUGUAUUACACUUCGUCAUGUUUUAUCAUAUGUCAUGUGUAAUUGUACAUGGAUUUAUAAUGCAAAUUUUUCUAUGUCUAAUGUCUAAUAAUUGCUAUUUAAAUGUAUUUCAUUAAUUUCUGAUAAAAGCAUUUGUGUAAUUCAUUUCUGUUUGUCAGGCAAUCAAUAUAACCUACCUAAGAACACAACACCAACAGCAAUAAU